CUUCCAUCUGGAGAAUCUGGAGACAGGUGCUGCAUGGCUGUCGUCAGCUCGUGUCGUGAGAUGUUGGGUUAAGUCCCGCAACGAGCGCAACCCUUGCCUUUAGUUGCCAGCAGUUCGGCUGGGCACUCUAAAGGGACUGCCGGUGUUAAACCGGAGGAAGGUGGGGAUGACGUCAAGUCCUCAUGGCCUUUAUGACCAGGGCUACACACGUACUACAAUGGCCGAUACAAAGGGCAGCGACACUGCGAGGUGAAGCCAAUCCCGUAAAAUCGGUCUCAGUCCGGAUUGGAGUCUGCAACUCGACUCCAUGAAGUUGGAAUCGCUAGUAAUCGUGGAUCAGCAUGCCACGGUGAAUACGGGGUUCCCGGGCCUU
rnacentral:rRNA from 1 species